CCUGAAAGUGCAAAGAAGCUCUGUUCUCUUUUGUCCCCAAAACCUUUCCCCUCUCAGCCUGACUCUCACAUCUUGAUCCUUUUUUCCUCAGUUCUAGGAGGAGGAGGCGUUCAAAAUCCUUUUAUCCCUGUAGUAAAAGUUGGAAGCAUGAAGAGAAACCUGAAAAAAUAAUGCCAAAAGAUGGGUCUUAAACCUGGAGGACAGUUGGUUGGUGAGGCGACGUGGUGCUCUGAGUGGGGAGAGGAACAGGCAACACAAAUAUGUUUGGGCAGCUGAUUAACCUUUGAGCUUGCUUUUCCCUCUGAGCCCGCUGGGUGUGCAGCCUUGACGUGUUCUGUGAGUCCAUUCGCCGUGCCGAGCCCCACGCUCGGGUGUUGGGCAGGUUUUCGGAUGUCGCAGCCCCAUGCGGUGCAGUGGGGACAACGCCAAGGCAGGUCCCUGAGCGUCUCCCUGCUCAGUCUUUCGGGUGCAGAUUCGGAAGUUUCCACUCACUUUUGGAGCUCAGUCUGAGACAUGUUCACCUUGGUUUGCAGAGACGGCAAUCAUGGCCAGUGGUGCUCAGAGUUUGUGGACACUCUAAACUGGCAAGCGAGCGCAGGAGCUGCUCGUCAGCCACCUAAUGGGAGACACGGGAAACCAGUGGACCCUUCAGAUCCAGAGUUGAGGUGCUCUGCCCUCCAUCCCACUGCAUGCCAAGAACCUUCCUUGGCUGUUACUGAAAAUGGGAAGCCUUCCGUCGCUAAGGCGUGCAGUCCAGGGAAGGUCACGCAGGGCAGGUUAAGGAACUUGUCCACACUGAACACGUGGCUCCAAAUUGAGCUUGGACCAUUUACUCAGACGAAUGCAGGAUGAGGGAAUUUGUUUCACUGCUGUGGCCUGGUAUGUAAAUGAAAGAAAACUAGGAAAGUGAGUAACUACUCCCUUGGGGGGAGAUGAAAAAGGCACUAGCCACCCUUUUAAUCUUAUAUUAGCACUAAUUUGAAGCUAGGAAAGAGGAGCUCUGAGAAAAAGCUGAGUUACACUCCUGGCUUGCUGAAUAACCUUGGACAAGCCCCAUCCUAUCUCUCUCCUGUGUGUCCUGCAGGCCUCAGUUUCCCCAUCUGUAAAUUAGAGAUGACGGCACCAGUCUUACUACUAAAGUGCUUUGAGACUUGCUGACAGAAAAAUCUCUAUUUAUAGUGGUAAGUAUUCUUGUUAUUACAGGUCAUAGUCUCAUUUUGGGGAGUAAAAGAAAGCAGCUGUAUCUUAAGUUUCCACUAACCUGGAGCCAGAGUGGUAAAAGGUCAUUUAAGUCUGGGGAGAAUCAGGGCACUUUGCACAGGAGAAGAAAGCAGGGCUUGCAGCUGGGAAAAAGAAGUCCUACCUGAACUGAGAGGCACGUCAAGGGCCAAAUUUUCUGUUAGUGCAAACUGACACAGCUGCGCUGCACGGCCUGCAGCUCCCAGCACGUUUGGUGGGAGUCAUGGCUCAAAAAACCUCGCAGGACCACUGCUAAUAUGUGAAACAGAUACUGAACUUAAUAGACCAACUGUCUGAUGUGGUUUUGUAAUCUUUUGUCUCUAACAGUUAUGCCUGCUAAUUAUUAGUAUUAAUUAUGUACAGAGUAGUGUUUUAUAGGCAAACAGAAAACAAGUUUCCUGUCCCCUAGGAUUCACAGCAUAAAGCUGAUGAUGAGAGAAUCAAAACAGACCCAACAUGUUUGGGAGAAUGAAGAAGCAGGGUGGUAGCACAGGAAGGUGGAGGGAGGAAGAGGAAGGUGAGGGCGCCCAUCUCGCCUUCCAGAGCACAAAGAACGUGGCAGAAAGACACAGCUCACCCUUGAACCAGGGUGGCAGAGAUUAAACCGGCACCUCUCUGAUAUCUUUGCUUGAGGCGCUGCUUCAUAGCGCCCCUGGCCCCAGGUCUCAGCUCUGCCCCUGCAGAACCCUGGGCUGCUCCUGGUGGGGUUGCCAGGUGGGCACCAAGUCUGCUCUCACCACUCUGCCCGGAGGUGAGAGCCAUGCACUUUGAAAGCAUCAGGUGUUGGUGAGGACCACGGACAAAACUAAUGGGGUACUGGCCUCAGGGGACUAAUGGGCUGGCUAAUAACGACAUGGAUUUUGACAGAGCAGAGCAAAUAAGAAUUGGCAGGCAUUAACCUCAGACAUGUCUGCUACCUAGAGAAAUCCAAGCCCCUCUCUCACUCUUCGUUCUGUUUAGCAUAUUAAUGUUUAAUUCUAUUAGCAUCAGCAGCGAUGGCUGCUGUUCAGCCCAGGAGCCGUGUGGAAGAGCCUCGGGAGGUGACACUCUUGGAAGGGGGACCCAUGCCUGGCCAGGAGCCAGGAGCAAGCCCUGCCCCAGUGCGUAAAUUGGGAGCAGUUGCUAGCACCGCUGCUGCAGCUCUGAGCAUCUGCCUCUCGUUUGCAUUCCCCUGCUAAUUCAGCAUCGACUACUGUUGCCCACUCCACGGGCUGUCUCCUACCUGAAGCGUAGCUUAUACUUUUGAGUUUCUAUUCGCUGGGGGGAUAUUUUCUCUCUCUCGCCUCUGUUUUCACUCCUUUCCCUUUCCUUUUUAGGGUGCAAUUCUUUGUAUUGCCCUACUAUGUGCCUUCCAGGAGUAACAAAGCUGCAGGUGCUGCUUCCAGGGAGGAAACAAGAUGGGGAAACAGCUCCUUACAAAGAAAUGAACCAUGUUGAUUCAUCUUCCCUAGCCUCCCUGCUCUCUUCUCUUUGCUAAGUGGCAGUGGCAGCAGCAGCAUGGUGUUUAGUGGUGCAUUUCCAUGCAUUCGACCCAACAGCCCUGCACCUCUGGAGAGAGAAUUGAUUGUAGGAGGAUAGAAAAGAAGCAGACCUGAUGUCUGGUGCGAUUCCUUACAGAACUUUGAAAUUAAAUCAGCAUGGUGGUGGUUUAUUUAUUUUUCUCUCCUUUCUUCCCUUCUCCCCUUAAUGGCCCCCUUUAAAUGAGAUAUUAAAAAUAGGAAUAUUAAUUUGGCAGAUGGUGCAAUUGGGCUUUUGGCAGGAGUCUGAACACUGUGCUGCAAAGUCACAGACCUCCAUCUCCACGCCGGAGCGCUGAGCGAUGCUCUGGCUCCUCUCCAAGCAGUGUGUUGCUCCUGCUCCUGCUCCCCCUUCCAGCUAUUAGUGCUGGGAGAGUCAUCUGGGGUGGAGGGGCCUCAUGUGGGUCUUUCUUCCAGCUGCAUCCAAGUAGCUCUGAUUUCUGUCAGUUCUGAGCCAUCACCAAAGGGCUGAGAGCUCAUUUCCGCUUUAAUUGUAGUGAGGUCUGAUUGUAGUGGGAGCUACACAUCUGUAAGCAUAAAAUUACUUCUACAGGGAAAGUAUUGCUCAGGGUGAGAGGGGGCUUGAAGAUAUGUGUUUCAGUCUGGAGUUUACCAGUGGCUCCUAGGUGCCUGGGGAUGUUUGUGGAGCGACGAGGGCCCCCUCCUUUGAGAGAGUCUGCCACAGCCGGCUGUGAUGGGGCUUGUUUCCAGCGCAGGUUGUAUGUCUUCAGCAAAAGUGAUUUUACAGACUUCUCAGGGCACUAUAUCUUUUUUUGCUUCUUCUUUUUGCUUAUGUCACAGUAGGUCUCAGCUUCAUCCAAGAUGGAGGCUCUGGUCUUUUAUUGUUUUGCAGUGCCUGAAUUGUUGAGAACCACUGCAGAGUCAAAUUUCCUCUAAAUCUUCCCUGCUGCAGCUUUGGCCCCGUGCUACGAUUUCACCAAGAGCAAAAUGAGCCCUAAUUAAUCCCUGCAUCUCUGUUACAUCCUUCUUGGACAUCUAUAGCCAAUUAUUUAGUGCAUCUCUCCUCACACUCAUUUCUCUAGCCAAUACGGUGGUUUCCUCAGAUUAACCUUGGUUUCACAGCACUGCAACUCCUGUAGCUUCAGCAGGGUCUUCUGCGUGAUACCGAAUGAAAGUAGAGUGCGGUCUUGCACUUGCAUUUCAUUUUUAACGUGUGUACAGAGAUCUUAUUUUUCCAAACUUCUUGGCAUUUUUGUUGUUCUUUGAAUUCCCUCCAGCUUGUGUGUCUCUGUUAUAAUGUGAUGCCCAGAUCUGGGCAUGCUGCUCCAAACAGUAGCCUGACUAAUGCUGUGAAGAGUGCAAUAAUUACCUUGCUGGGUUGCAGCAGCCUUAUGUUAUUGACCUCUCUUCAAUCGAUCAUCCCCCCAGACCACUCUCUGUUGUAUUAAUGUUUGGCCAGAUACCUCCAUACUGUCUCUGUCCCUUUUUUUUAUUCCUUUUUAUGUGUAAAUCUUUUGCAUUUGUCCAGCUGAAUCUCUCUUCAUUGAUUGCAGACCACUGCUUUAAUUUAUCAAGCUCAUAUUGUAUUUUAUUUCUGUCCUGCAAGUUAUUUGCCACCCUCCCACCUUGGUAAAAUGUUCAGAUUUGAUUAGCAUACUCCCAGUCUGGUCUCCAAGUUGCUAAUAAAACUGUUCAAUUGUAUUGACCUUACA
ensembl:lncRNA